rnacentral:rRNA from 1 species
AUUGAACGCUGGCGGCAGGCCUAACACAUGCCAGUCGAGCGGAUGAAGGGAGCUUGCUCCUGGAUUCAGCGGCGGACGGGUGAGUAAUGCCUAGGAAUCUGCCUGGUAGUGGGGGAUAACAUCCGGAAACGGGCGCUAAUACCGCAUACGUCCUGAGGGAGAAAGUGGGGGAUCUUCGGACCUCACGCUAUCAGAUGAGCCUAGGUCGGAUUAGCUAGUUGGUGGGGUAAAGGCCUACCAAGGCGACGAUCCGUAACUGGUCUGAGAGGAUGAUCAGUCACACUGGAACUGAGACACGGUCCAGACUCCUACGGGAGGCAGCAGUGGGGAAUAUUGGACAAUGGGCGAAAGCCUGAUCCAGCCAUGCCGCGUGUGUGAAGAAGGUCUUCGGAUUGUAAAGCACUUUAAGUUGGGAGGAAGGGCAGUAAGUUAAUACCUUGCUGUUUUGACGUUACCAACAGAAUAAGCACCGGCUAACUUCGUG